rnacentral:rRNA from 1 species
UACGGGGGGGGCAAGCGUUGUUCGGAACUACUGGGCGUAAAGGGCUCGUAGGCGGCCAACUAAGUCCGACGUGAAAUCCCCAGGCUUAACCUGGGAACUGCGUCGGAUACUGGAUGGCUUGAAUUCGGGAGAGGGAUGCAGAAUUCCAGGUGUAGCGGUGAAAUGCGUAGAUAUCUGGAGGAAUACCGGUGGCGAAGGCGGCAUCCUGGACCGACAUUGACGCUGAUGAGCGAAAGCUAGGGGAGCAAACGGG